rnacentral:snRNA from 1 species
UGCCAGGGGAGAUACCAUGAUCAUGGAAGUGGUUUUCUCAGGUGAGGCUCAUCCAUUACACUGUAGGUGUGAUGACCCCUGUGAUUUCCCUAAUGUGGGAAACUCAACUGCAUAAUUUGUGGUAGUGGGGGACUGUGUUCACACUUUCCCCUG